GGGUAAGGGUUAUGAGUUUGGGUUAGUUUAUGGGUAAGGGUUAGGAGGUAGGGUUAGUUUAUGUUUAUGGGUAAGGGUUAGGAGCUAGGUUUAGUUUAUGGGUUAGGGUUAGUUUAUGUUUAUGGGUAAGGGUUAGGAGUUAGGGUUAGUUUAUGGGUUAGGGUUAGGAGUUAGGGUUAGUUUAUGGGUUAGGGUUAAGAGCUAGGGUUAGUUUAUGGGUAAGGGUUAGGAGUUAGGGUUAGUUUAUGGGUAAGGGUUAGGAGUUAGGGUUAGUUUAUGGGUUAGGGUUAGGAGCUAGGGUCAGUUCAUG
rnacentral:lncRNA from 1 species